rnacentral:rRNA from 1 species
ACGCUGGGGACGCGAGCGGCGGAUGGGUGAGUAACACGUGGGGAACCUGCCCCAUAGUCUGGGAUACCACUUGGAAACAGGUGCUAAUACCGGAUAAUAAAGCAGAUCGCAUGAUCAGCUUAUAAAAGGCGGCGUAAGCUGUCGCUAUGGGAUGGCCCCGCGGUGCAUUAGCUAGUUGGUAAGGUAACGGCUUACCAAGGCAAUGAUGCAUAGCCGAGUUGAGAGACUGAACGGCCACAUUGGGACUGAGACACGGCCCAAACUCC